rfam:Eimeria tenella Houghton genomic scaffold, Eth_scaff4343
ACGGAAGUGGCGAAAUAAGGUAUACGCGUUAGAUUUAGGUUCUAAUAGAAUUUUUCUAUGAGAGUUCAAAUCUCUCCUUCCGUA